UGUGGGUCCUAAUGCCCCUUUAUAGCGACAGGGACACUAUUCUGCUCAGUGAAGCUAAGCAGGGCUGCACCCGGUCAGUACCUGGAUCGGAGACCAUAUGGGAAAGCUAGGUUGCUGCCGGAA
rnacentral:rRNA from 1 species